rnacentral:rRNA from 1 species
UACAGAGGUGGCAAGCGUUGUUCGGAAUUACUGGGCGUAAAGCGCACGCAGGCGGCGCAGCAAGUUCGACGUGAAAGCUCCCGGCUCAACUGGGAGAGGUCGUUGAAGACUGCUGUGCUUGAGGCAAUGAGAGGGGUGUAGAAUUCCCGGUGUAGUGGUGGAAUGCGUAGAUAUCGGGGGGAAUACCAGUGGCGAAAGCGGCACCCUAGCAUUAGCCUGACGCUCAUGUGCGAAAGCGUGGGGAGCGAACGGG